rnacentral:lncRNA from 10 species
GAAGAUGCCACCCACAUUUUAGGGGGCAGCCUGAGCCUUUUCCCAAGCAAGAUGCCUCCUGGGGAGACUAGUGCAGACAGGCAGUUCUGAUUAUGUAUGCAAAUACAGGUCUGGCCCUGAAGCUUAUUUGAGAGCCACACAGCUCAGCUAAGCCACCCUGGAGAAAGAAUCUUACAAAGAAUACUAAAGAGCAUCCAAGUGUGAAGAAUGAAACACACAAUGCACAUGAAGUCCAGCCAUGGUGUAGCCAAGGAGACCCACUAAGACCACCAAAAGCUUGGAAAUGAGGAUGCAGGGGCAAAGGACGGCAUUAUAGGCGCACACUUGAUUUCCUAGAAGUCUCGGACAAACUUUGGCAUGCAGACAGCUUUCCACUUCAAGAGUUUGCCCUUCACUUCUGACAUCACUCUCCAGAAUCAUGAGCACAACCCAGAAAUGUGGUUCUUGAGACCACCUUGCAAAUAAAUGACCUAUACCCAAUCUUCAUCUCAGCAUCUGUUUUGAGGGAAUUCAAACUAAGACAGGAGCCCAGAGAAGCUAAAGGAUUUCUGUUCCUUUUCCCUGGGGAGGCUACUCUUCCCACUAAAUGAACUUCUUUUCUGAAGAUCCACUGAACUGGCAGAGUCCAUUCAAUGAGACAUCUUGAGCCUCAGCCCCUGAAGCUCCACGCCAAGGCUCUCAACAUGAUUCUAUUCCAUGUGCAUUCAUUCUGUUGAAUAAACCACAGUUCAGCUUUGUUCAGUAA